rnacentral:rRNA from 1 species
UACGUAGGGGGCAAGCGUUGUCCGGAAUUAUUGGGCGUAAAGAGCGUGUAGGCGGCCAAGUAGGUCUGCUGUGAAAACUCGAGGCUCAACUUCGAGAUGUCGGCGGAAACCAUUUGGCUAGAGUCCGGAAGAGGAGAGUGGAAUUCCUGGUGUGGCGGUGAAAUGCGCAGAUAUCAGGAAGAACACCCGUGGCGAAGGCGGCUCUCUGGGACGGUACUGACGCUGAGACGCGAAAGCGUGGGGAGCGAACAGG